CAUGCAAGAAUAUCUCUCUCUUGAGAGCCUAUUCUCUGGACAGCCAGCCUGCCUGCCUGCCUUCUUAUUUGAGUACAUACUUUAAAAGGCUUAGUCCUUUUAACCCUCCAGAGAUCUAUAAUAUUGAAAUUAUUAAGCUUGUAUCAUGCUGCAUACAAUUAGCACCUCCUGCCAAGAGAGUGAAGUCACUUCUGAAGAACUGACUAGAUGGGGUGAAAAUAGCCACAACUGCCAGUGGGAACCUCGAAAAGCUGAAUUGCAGAAACAAUGUGUUGUAAAGCAAGUAACUGCUUGAAAGGAUGGAAUUUUUCACCUUCAUCUCAAUUGCCUUUUCCUCCUCAUUGAAUUUCUAUAUUUUAUCUGCUGUUUCAAUAAUCCAGUUUCUUUAGCUGUCAUUUAGGAACAAAGUACCAUACAAUACUGCUUAAAUCUAUUUUGUCUCUAGUGAUGAAGGAACCUAUAAUUAAUGGUUGCUCUUCUUAAGACUGUAAAAGACAUCAAACGAAAUUCACAUCCCCUACAAUAUUCUCAAUUUUUUGUGUCUUGGACAUCUGGCAGUAUGGUACAAGCUAGAGACCCCUUUUCUGAAUGUUUUUAAAUAUAUAUAAAAUAAAGGAUUACAAAAGGAAA